AUUGAACGCUGGCGGAAUGCUUUACACAUGCAAGUCGAACGGUGGAGGGGGCAACCCCUCGAGAGUGGCGGACGGGUGAGUAAUAUAUCGGAACGUGCACAGUCGGGGGGGAGAACGUAGCGAAAGUUACGCUAAUACCGAAUACGAUCUAAGGAUGAAAGCGGGGGAUCGCAAGACCUCGCGCGAUUGGAGCGGCCGAUAUCAGCUUAGGUAGUUGGUGGGGUAAAGGCUCACCAAGCCAACGAUCUGUAGCUGGUCUGAGGGGACGAGCAGCCACACUGGAACGGAGACACGGUCCAGACUCCUACGAGAGUCAGCAGUGGGGAAUUUUGGACAAUGGACGAAAGUCUGAUCCAGCCAUUCCGCGUGCAGGAUGAAGGCCCUCGGGUUGUAAACUGCUUUUGUACGGAACGAAAAGGUCUCUCUUAAUACGGGGGACUCAUGACGGUACCGUAAGAAUAAGCACCGGCUAACUACGUGCCAGCCGCCGCCGUAAUAC
rnacentral:rRNA from 1 species